AGCAGCCGCGGUAAUUCCAGCUCCAAUAGCGUAUAUUAAAGUUGUUGCAGUUAAAAAGCUCGUAGUUGAAUUUCGAGACCAGUACGCUGGUCGUGCCUUCGGUAUGCACUGGUGUCACUGGUUUCUCCCUUCUGAAGAACCGUCAUGUCAUUAAGUUGGUGUGGCGGGGAAUCAGGACUGUUACUUUGAAAAAUUAGAGUGUUUAAAGCAGGCUCGCGCUUGAAUACAUUAGCAUGGAAUAAUGAAAUAGGACGUUUGACCCUAUUUUGUUGGUUUCUAGGAUCGACGUAAUGAUUAAUAGGGAUAGUUGGGGGCAUUAGUAUUCAAUUGUCAGAGGUGAAAUUCUUGGAUUUAUUGAAGACUAACUACUGCGAAAGCAUUUGCCAAGGAUGUUUUCAUUAAUCAAGAACGAAAGUUAGGGGAUCGAAGACGAUCAGAUACCGUCGUAGUCUUAACCAUAAACUAUGCCGACUAGGGAUCGGAUGAUGUUAAUUUUUAAUGACUCAUUCGGCGUACCCG
rnacentral:rRNA from 1 species